ensembl:lncRNA
AUAAUAUGAUAAAUAUCAGGGCUUCCCUGGUAGCUCAGCUGAUAAAGAAUCCACCUACAAUUCAGGAGACCUCCGUUCGAUUCCUGGGUCAGGAAGAUUCCCUGGAGAAGGGAUAGGCUACCCUCUCCAGUAUUCUUGGGCUUCUCUGGUGGCUCAAACAAAAUUUUGUCUUCACUGAUUCCUUCUCAGUUCAAUUCAGAUCAGCCACUCAGUUGUGUCCGACUCUUUGUGACCUCAUGGACUGCAGCACGCCAGGCCUCUCUGUCCAUCACCAACUCCCGGAGUUUACGCAAACUCAUGUCCAUUGAUUCGAGAAGAAUACUGAAGCACAAAGUGUAAAGGGUCUUAGAGAGUCAUUGGCCAAGUGGUAGCCCAGCUCUUGACUCUUCCCAGUGCCUUUUAUUAUCAAGCAGUGAAGGGCAAGAAGUAAGAAUUGUUUAAUUGCAAAAGAAAGAAAAAAAAAUUAGAGCAAUGAGAUUAAUGGACUUGGAUUAAUGUGAUAAUACAUCUCUGAGUUUGAGCACAUACCCACCCGCUUACCUGUGUCAACUCAAGAAUGAAAUGGAAACUCGCUGUAUUGUGUGGGCAUGAGGAUUGACUCAAAGACUGUGACAGGAAGUAUUAAGGCUGCAGCCUCUAAGCUCUGCAAUGUUAAGGUCACAUCCACAUCCUUAAAGGCACAAUGAUAACUGUGUCACUGGACUAUUUGGAGUAGAAGAUGUGACUUCUAUCUUCUGCUGGUGUUGGUGACAUUUUAGCCCUGGUAUUUCAUCG